rnacentral:rRNA from 1 species
UACGUAGGGGGCUAGCGUUGUCCGGAAUCAUUGGGCGUAAAGCGCGCGUAGGCGGCCCUGUAAGUCCGUUGUGAAAGUCAAAGGCUCAACCUUUGAAAGCCGAUGGAUACUGCAGGGCUAGAGUCCGGAAGAGGCGAGUGGAAUUCCUGGUGUAGCGGUGAAAUGCGCAGAUAUCAGGAGGAACACCGGUGGCGAAGGCGGGUCUCUGGGCCGAUACUGACGCUGAGGAGCGAAAGCGUGGGGAGCGAACAGG